rnacentral:misc_RNA from 1 species
CUGUUCGAGCGUCAUAAUGACCAACUCACGCUCCGCGUGGUCUUGGGGUCCGCUUCUGGGCGGCCCUUAAACGCAGUGGCGGUGCCGUGCGGCUCUCAGCGUAGUAAUUCUUCUCGCUACAGGGUCCGGACGGUGCUGGCCAGCAACCCCAACUACAUAAGGUUGACCUCGGAUCAGGUAGGGAUACCCGCUGAACUUAA